rnacentral:rRNA from 1 species
CGGAGGAUGCAAGCGUUAUCCGGAUUCAUUGGGUUUAAAGGUGCGUAGGCGGCUUUUUAAGUCAGUGGUGAAAUCCUGCCGCUUAACGGUAGAAUUGCCAUUGAUACUGAAGAGCUUGAGUACAGCUGAGGUAAGCGGAAUGUGUAGUGUAGCGGUGAAAUGCUUAGAUAUUACACAGAACACCAAUUGCGAAGGCAGCUUACUAAACUGUCACUGACGCUGAUGCACGAAAGCGUGGGGAGCGAACAGGAUUAGAUACCCUGGUAGUCCACGCCGUAAACGAUGAUCACUCGCUGUAUGCGAUACACAGUAUGCGGCCAAGCGAAAGCAUUAAGUGAUCCACCUGGGGAGUACGAUCGCAAGGUUG